rnacentral:rRNA from 1 species
GGCCUUGGGGCAGCUACACAUGCAAGUCGAGCGGAUGACGGGAGCUUGCUCCUUGAUUCAGCGGCGGACGGGUGAGUAAUGCCUAGGAAUCUGCCUGGUAGUGGGGGACAACGUUUCGAAAGGAACGCUAAUACCGCAUACGUCCUACGGGAGAAAGCAGGGGACCUUCGGGCCUUGCGCUAUCAGAUGAGCCUAGGUCGGAUUAGCUAGUUGGUGGGGUAAUGGCUCACCAAGGCGACGAUCCGUAACUGGUCUGAGAGGAUGAUCAGUCACACUGGAACUGAGACACGGUCCAGACUCCUACGGGAGGCAGCAGUGGGGAAUAUUGGACAAUGGGCGAAAGCCUGAUCCAGCCAUGCCGCGUGUGUGAAGAAGGUCUUCGGAUUGUAAAGCACUUUAAGUUGGGAGGAAGGGCAGUAAGCUAAUACCUUGCUGUUUUGACGUUACCGACAGAAUAAGCACCGGCUAACUCUGUGCCAGCAGCCGCGGUAAUACAGAGGGUGCAAGCGUUAAUCGGAAUUACUGGGCGUAAAGCGCGCGUAGGUGGUUUGUUAAGUUGGAUGUGAAAGCCCCGGGCUCAACCUGGGAACUGCAUCCAAAACUGGCAAGCUAGAGUACGGUAGAGGGUGGUGGAAUUUCCUGUGUAGCGGUGAAAUGCGUAGAUAUAGGAAGGAACACCAGUGGCGAAGGCGACCACCUGGACUGAUACUGACACUGAGGUGCGAAAGCGUGGGGAGCAAACAGGAUUAGAUACCCUGGUAGUCCACGCCGUAAACGAUGUCAACUAGCCGUUGGAAUCCUUGAGAUUUUAGUGGCGCAGCUAACGCAUUAAGUUGACCGCCUGGGGAGUACGGCCACAAGGUUAAAACUCAAAUGAAUUGACGGGGGCCCGCACAAGCGGUGGAGCAUGUGGUUUAAUU